rnacentral:rRNA from 1 species
AAUGAACCGGCGAGUUACGAUUUGAUGCAAGGUUAAGCAGUAAAUGUGGAGCCGUAGCGAAAGCGAGUCUGAAUAGGGCGUUUAGUAUUUGGUCGUAGACCCGAAACCAGGUGAUCUACCCUUGGUCAGGUUGAAGUUCAGGUAACACUGAAUGGAGGACCGAACCGACUUACGUUGAAAAGUGAGCGGAUGAACUGAGGGUAGCGGAGAAAUUCCAAUCGAACCUGGAGAUAGCUGGUUCUCUCCGAAAUAGCUUUAGGGCUAGCCUCAAGUGAUGAUUAUUGGAGGUAGAGCACUGUUUGGACGAGGGGCCCCUCUCGGGUUACCGAAUUCAGACAAACUCCGAAUGCCAAUUAAUUUAACUUGGGAGUCAGAACAUGGGUGAUAAGGUCCAUGUUCGAAAGGGAAACAGCCCAGACCACCAGCUAAGGUCCCAAAAUAUAUGUUAAGUGGAAAAGGAUGUGGCGUUGCCCAGACAACUAGGAUGUUGGCUUAGAAGCAGCCAUCAUUUAAAGAGUGCGUAAUAGCUCACUAGUCGAGUGACACUGCGCCGAAAAUGUACCGGGGCUAAACAUAUUACCGAAGCUGUGGAUUGUCCUUUGGACAAUGGUAGGAGAGCGUUCUAAGGGCGUUGAAGCAUGAUCGUAAGGACAUGUGGAGCGCUUAGAAGUGAGAAUGCCGGUGUGAGUAGCGAAAGACGGGUGAGAAUCCCGUCCACCGAUUGACUAAGGUUUCCAGAGGAAGGCUCGUCCGCUCUGGGUUAGUCGGGUCCUAAGCUGAGGCCGACAGGCGUAGGCGAUGGAUAACAGGUUGAUAUUCCUGUACCACCUAUAAUCGUUUUAAUCGAUGGGGGGACGCAGUAGGAUAGGCGAAGCGUGCGAUUGGAUUGCACGUCUAAGCAGUAAGGCUGAGUAUUAGGCAAAUCCGGUACUCGUUAAGGCUGAGCUGUGAUGGGGAGAAGACAUUGUGUCUUCGAGUCGUUGAUUUCACACUGCCGAGAAAAGCCUCUAGAUAGAAAAUAGGUGCCCGUACCGCAAACCGACACAGGUAGUCAAGAUGAGAAUUCUAAGGUGAGCGAGCGAACUCUCGUUAAGGAACUCGGCAAAAUGACCCCGUAACUUCGGGAGAAGGGGUGCUCUUUAGGGUUAACGCCCAGAAGAGCCGCAGUGAAUAGGCCCAAGCGACUGUUUAUCAAAAACACAGGUCUCUGCUAAACCGUAAGGUGAUGUAUAGGGGCUGACGCCUGCCCGGUGCUGGAAGGUUAAGAGGAGUGGUUAGCUUCUGCGAAGCUACGAAUCGAAGCCCCAGUAAACGGCGGCCGUAACUAUAACGGUCCUAAGGUAGCGAAAUUCCUUGUCGGGUAAGUUCCGACCCGCACGAAAGGCGUAACGAUUUGGGCACUGUCUCAACGAGAGACUCGGUGAAAUCAUAGUACCUGUGAAGAUGCAGGUUACCCGCGACAGGACGGAAAGACCCCGUGGAGCUUUACUGUAGCCUGAUAUUGAAAUUCGGCACAGCUUGUACAGGAUAGGUAGGAGCCUUUGAAACGUGAGCGCUAGCUUACGUGGAGGCGCUGGUGGGAUACUACCCUAGCUGUGUUGGCUUUCUAACCCGCACCACUUAUCGUGGUGGGAGACAGUGUCAGGCGGGCAGUUUGACUGGGGCGGUCGCCUCCUAAAAGGUAACGGAGGCGCUCAAAGGUUCCCUCAGAAUGGUUGGAAAUCAUUCAUAGAGUGUAAAGGCAUAAGGGAGCUUGACUGCGAGACCUACAAGUCGAGCAGGGUCGAAAGACGGACUUAGUGAUCCGGUGGUUCCGCAUGGAAGGGCCAUCGCUCAACGGAUAAAAGCUACCCCGGGGAUAACAGGCUUAUCUCCCCCAAGAGUUCACAUCGACGGGGAGGUUUGGCACCUCGAUGUCGGCUCAUCGCAUCCUGGGGCUGUAGUCGGUCCCAAGGGUUGGGCUGUUCGCCCAUUAAAGCGGUACGCGAGCUGGGUUCAGAACGUCGUGAGACAGUUCGGUCCCUAUCCGUCGUGGGCGUAGGAAAUUUGAGAGGAGCUGUCCUUAGUACGAGAGGACCGGGAUGGACAUACCUCUGGUGUACCAGUUGUCGUGCCAACGGCAUAGCUGGGUAGCUAUGUGUGGACGGGAUAAGUGCUGAAAGCAUCUAAGCAUGAAGCCCCCCUCAAGAUGAGAUUUCCCAACUUCGGUUAUAAGAUCCCUCAAAGAUGAUGAGGUUAAUAGGUUCGAGGUGGAAGCAUGGUGACAUGUGGAGCUGACGAAUACUAAUCGAUCGAAGACUUAAUCAA